UCCUUAAAUCUUAUUUGCAUAGGAUCGUGCCAUCAUUCUAACCCUACUCAUAUAAUCUCUCUUUUUCAGUAGGGCUGUGCCGUCAAUCCAAUCCUAUCCAUAUAAUUCUCUUUCUCAAUUGGGUCGUGCCAUCAUUCCGACCCUAACCAUAUAAUUCUCAUUCUCAGUAGGGUCGUCCCAUCAUCUAACCCUACCCAUAUAAUUUUAUUCCACAGAUUGUGACCGCUUUCAGCCAUCAAAUCUAGUUAUCCGACUCAUGAGCAUGUUCCGGUCAGUUUUACGAUGAUUUUCUUGUUUAAG
rnacentral:lncRNA from 1 species